CAGGACGAGGAGAACAGAAAGCGCGCGAUGUUCCUGGGGUUCGUCUGCCUGCUGCUUCUCCUGCUUCUCCUGCUGGGAAUAUACUUGACCUUCAGCAGCCAGCGCGGUGCCGAGGAAGAAAGCGAUGCGGGCGAGACAAAGGAGGCUCAUUACGCAUCUGGUAAUCCAUCCUCGCCAUCGACCGCUUCCAGAAAGCCUCCGUCCACAGAAAAAGGUGAUGCCACAUGCUAAAGGCAAGCGUGUCCUGCAUUGAAUGCCGCAUCGCCCAAGGCACAAAUGAGCUGCAUAGGUGACAGAUAAUACUAUUAGCGACCAGCACGAGCGACACCUUGCUUCGACAAUCCGUAAACGCUUUCUUUACAUUUUGACCACUCGCAAAAUCGUACAUUCAAUUCUGAUGAAAAUACAACGUUUCUUAGGAGACGUCUACCAGGCCUCAUAGACACACAUACCUGUCUUUAGCUUCAGUUUCUAUAAAUUUACUGGAACCUUGUAGCUAAGAAUUGGAGGACACCUUUGUGGUGACACCUUAAAUUAGUCACUAAACACCUACACAUAGGCGCCUUAGAAAUAUGAGUUUUUUGGCUGUUCCACUUGCUCGCGCGAGCGAAGAUGAGUGUAAAAUGGCUAACAGAGCAUUUCUACACAGGAGAAAGUGGAAUGGCAAUGCCGGCAGACUUGAAGCAAACAAAAAUGUCGUUAAUGCGUUGCAACUUCAAUUCACACGUACUGAUGUGUAACAGAGAAUUCAUAAGCUAUUGACGGCUCGAAAUAAAAUCCAUUUGGUCCUACGUCUGUUGUGAAUCAAGGCGUUGUCUGCUAA